rnacentral:rRNA from 1 species
GACGAACGCUGGCGGCGUGCCUAAUACAUGCAAGUCGAACGCAGUGGGGACGGGUGAGUAACACGUGGGUAACCUCCCAUCAGAGGGGAUAACACUUGGAAACAGGUGCUAAACUGAUACUGAUGGAUGGACCCGCGGUGCAUAAGCUAGUUGGUGAGGUAACGGCUCAACAAGGCAACGAUGCAUAGGCGGCCUGGUAGGGUGAUCGGCCACACUGGGACUGAGACACGGCCCAGACUCCUACGGGAGGCAGCAGUAGGUAUUCUGCGGCAAUGGGCGAAAGUCUGACCGAGCAACGCCGCGUGAGUGAAGAAGGUUUUCGGUUCGUAAAACUCUGUUGUUAGAGAAGCGGUAUCUAACCAGAAAGCCACGGCUAACUACGUGCCAGCAGCCGCGGUAAUUC